UAGGGAAUAUUGGACAAUGGGUGAGAGCCUGAUCCAGCCAUGCCGCGUGCAGGAAGAAGGCCUUCUGGGUCGUAAACUGCUUUUUUCUGUGGAUAAAAGAUCCCUGCGGGGAUAAUUGAAGGUAACAGAGGAAUAAGCCACGGCUAACUACGUG
rnacentral:rRNA from 1 species